GCAGUGAACCGUCCCUUGGGAACAGCUUGAACACCAGCGAGGAGGAGCUGAGCACUGCAGGCAUGACGGCGUCACCUAAAGGUAUUACCAUAACAUCUCUAUCCAGAUAGCCAUCACAUUUACACAACAAUGCUAGAGGGUGGGUUUGCCCCCAAUUCCAGCUAUUUUUGACCUGGGGUUGGUUGGAUGCUCAGUCACCCUAUUCCCCCUUAUCUGCACUCGAUUUAAGGUUGGGAUAAUUGCUACAGCACACAUUUUUUUAUUUAAUUUUUUGCUUUUACUAGAUGGGUGGAUGGCAAGAUGUGUGUGUGUGUGUGUGUUCGUGUGUGUGUGUGUGUUGUGAGGCUUUAGAAUAGGAAUGUGAAUUUGAGGAGCAUCAUCUCAUUUAAAUGCAUGAAUCUUAUCAAUAAUACAAGGCCCUGUAGACAAGGCACCAGAGAAUGGAAUACGCCACAAAGCCUCCUGUCUAGCUUGCGUGUGCCACUGAUAGGCCUACCCUUUCAAUAGGAUCCUCGGCCUGUAGCGCAGCGAGGUGGGCCGUGGGCGUGACUGUGUCGUAAACAGCCCAUAAUCCCAUGAGGCAAUGUGACAAAGCCAGUUGUGUGUGAUAAGUUGUGUGUGGCCGUGAAUGUAUCUCAUCCUUUCUAUCGCAAAAAAAAAAAAAGAUUGGAUGGGGGGGAGUUUUGAUGUUUCUCCCCGUUCCCUAUCCUCCUUCCACCCCACUUCAUUUGCCUUAUGUAAUUUCAAGUGGAAGAUCGCGUUUCUUAUGGGCGACUCGGAAUGUUCCAGAGGAAAUGCCAGUGCUCUGAGCCCGUCUCCAUGCAGCUGGGAGCAUGGCUCACACUCUCUCACAUUCUCUCCUCUCUCUCUGGGAGCAUGGUUCACACUCUCUCACAUUCUCUCCUCUCUCUCUGGGACCAUGGUUCACACUCUCUCACAUUCUCUCCGCUCUCUCUGGGAGCAUGGCUCACACUCUCUCACAUUCUCUCCUCUCUCUCCUCCCCCUCUGCAGCCAAACUCGGGGACACAGAGGAUCUUCAGAGCUUCAUUGACAACUUGGACCGUGAACUUGCCGAGAUGUGAGCUGAGAGGAGGCCUCGUGACUGGCAGUGUAACGAGCCUGAAGUUCAAUAGAGACAAAGCGAACUGGAGUGCGACAACCCUGUGCGCUGCCGCGAAGCGACCCGAUAUCCGCCUAAAAGAGGUGAACCUCAGGGCCACAAAGAAAAUCAUGUUGGCGAAGGCUCUUUUGGAACGAUGGCCGGACUACAUCAUCUUCACCCUUUGACAAGGAAGUGUGACAUUCUUUUAAAUGUCUUUUAAUUAAGACUCCCACUUUAAUGGCGGGUCAUGAAAGGACCCCAUGCUGCUGGGUAAUUAGUUAGAGCAAUUGGAAUCAGACCAGCCUGCGGUGUCCUCAGAAAAAUGGCUUUUAUAUUAGAAUCUAAGGACCAUUCAAAAUAUUUUUUCACUAAUCCUAUUUCAGAUCUGCCCCUAUUUAUAUACUUUCCUUCUACGAGCUAAAACGGAUAUUGUAUUUUAAUUUGAUGUAUUAUUUUAUACAGAAUACAGAAUAUGAAGGCGUUGUACAGAAGUUGUAUGUCAUUUGUGUAAUUUUCUAGUUUCCUCUGUUGUGGAGUAUUUGAAUAUUUAACUGGUUUAUAAAUACUUAACUGGAUUAUGCUACGCUGAUAAAUGUACAGACCAAUAAAGCUUUUUACCUAUGCA
ensembl:lncRNA